UACGUAGGGUGCAAGCGUUGUCCGGAUUUAUUGGGCGUAAAGAGCUCGUAGGCGGUCUGUCGCGUCGGAUGUGAAAACCCAGGGCUCAACCCUGGGCCUGCAUUCGAUACGGGCAGACUAGAGUACGGCAGGGGAGACUGGAAUUCCUGGUGUAGACGGUGAAAUGACGCAGAUAUCAGGAGGAACAGCCGGUGGCGGAAGGCGGGUCUCUGGGCCGUAACUGACGCUGAGGAGCGGAAAGCGUGGGGGAGCGAACAGG
rnacentral:rRNA from 1 species